rnacentral:rRNA from 1 species
UACAGAGGUGGCAAGCGUUGUUCGGAAUUACUGGGCGUAAAGAGUGCGCAGGCGGUCGUUCAAGUCGAGUGUGAAAGCCCCCGGCUCAACUGGGGAGGGUCACUCGAUACUGAUCGACUUGAAGGCAGGAGAGGGAAGCGGAAUUCCCGGUGUAGUGGUGAAAUGCGUAGAUAUCGGGAGGAACACCAGUGGCGAAGGCGGCUUCCUGGCCUGUUCUUGACGCUGAGGCGCGAAAGCUAGGGGAGCAAACGGG